rnacentral:rRNA from 1 species
AUUGAACGCUGGCGGCAGGCCUAACACAUGCAAGUCGAGCGGUAACAGGGAUAGCUUGCUAUCUGCUGACGAGCGGCGGACGGGUGCGUAACACGUAGGAAUCUACCCAGUAGCGGGGGAUAGCCCGGAGAAAUCCGGAUUAAUACCGCAUACGCCCUACGGGGAAAGCAGGGGCUCUUGUUCUUCUAUGAAGAGCGGACCUUGCACUAUUGGAUGAGCCUGCGUCGGAUUAGCUAGUUGGUGGGGUAAAGGCCUACCAAGGCAACAAUCCGUAGCUGGUCUGAGAGGAUGAUCAGCCACACUGGGACGUGAGACACGGCCCAGACUCCUACGGGAGGCAGCAGUGGGGAAUAUUGCACAAUGGCGCAAGCCUGAUGCAGCCAUGCCGCGUGUGUG